GGGGAUUUUGAAAAUGCCAAUUAACGGCACAAAAUCGGAAUUUCUAAUGGGAAACAAGGAGAUUCUUCUGUAAUCUCUCUCCAAAUUAUCUCAAAACACGCACACACACAAACAAUACAAAGACUUAAAAGAUUUUUAUUUUAAUUAAAGAACCAGGAAUUUGCUACCCUGUUCUGAGAAGUUGUGGAAUGACUGGGGGUGGGGAAGGAGGAAAGAAAAAAGAGUUUAAAAUUCACAGGUACCAUGAACACAAAUUUCCCAGAAGCUGUCCUAGGAAAUUUGUCAUUUCUACCCAUUUCUUGCAGGCCAGAAAAUAGACUGACUUCAGGAAUAUUUACUGUUUUCAUGAGAAAAAUUUCCAAGGUACUUCUUGAAGCAGUGAAAGUGGAAAGGAGAACUUGCUUGAAUUCUGGGGCCAUUGUGUUCUACCAUGCUUCUCAAGCCAAUCCACUCCAUUUCUCCACCCACUGGCAAACCUUUACCCCGCCCAGCCCGGUGCUAUUUGCACUGGCCACCAGCCCAAUCCUUCCCUCCCCUCCUCUUGGCUUCCCUUUGGAGAAAGUUUAAAAGGUUGGCUCCCUGUGACCGCUUUAAUCAUAUUCUGUUAUCUUGAUCAGCAUUUUAGCUUUACACUGUAAGACAUUCUGCCUCGAAUUCAGACCUUUCUGGGGGAGGGGAAGGAGUUGGAAAGAAGAUUAUUGAUGAUGGCUAUAUUUUAUUAUGUGUGAUGGUCAUGGGUUAGACAUGCAGUUUGUCAAGCUGGAAGCUGGGGUGGGAGGGGAAGAAAGACACUAAACACUGUGAAGUCACAGAGCAAAAUAUUUUUCAAGGACACAUCAAAGCCUUUUUCCAUGGUGUCUUGCACUGACCCCAUUUCACACUGGCAAACCACAAGCUGAAAUUAAAAUAAAAAUACCAGGCUGGUUCCAUUUAGCCAGUUGAGCUGCUCAGUUCAGUCACUCAUUUUAUGAAAGUCACUAAAUGCAAACAUUCCAAGAUUUAUUUUCCUUGCUUAUAAUUUUUCUGCCUUUCCACUGGUGGGCUGUUUAUUUCUAAUAAUUUGGUAGGAGAAAACAUUUGCUCAUAGUAGUGGAGGUCUUAUAUGCCAACUACAAACCAAAGCACAUUUUACUGUGGAAUAAAACCCCUGGAAAACAGGCUCCAGGGGCGCCCACGCAUGGCAAGUUUACAGGCAUAGUACAAUUGACGCCAUUAUAAUUAGUUCCCCCCGAAAGUCUUAUUUUUCAGAGCAGAGCUCUGAAUCUUUCUCUUCGCACACGCAUAUCUCUGGGCCAGAGCAAAAACAUUAUGGAGGGUGAGUCAUAGAGCAGCUUUGGGCUUUAAAGACUAACGCAGAUCCUAUAAAUCUAACCCACAUUCUUUUACUGGGAAUGACUGACUUUUAUGAAAACCAAG
rnacentral:lncRNA from 1 species